UACGUAGGGUGCGAGCGUUGUCCGGAAUUAUUGGGCGUAAAGGGCUCGUAGGCGGUCUGUUGCGUCGGGAGUGAAAACUCAGGGCUUAACCCCGUGCCUGCUUCCGAUACGGGCAGACUAGAGGUAUGCAGGGGAGAACGGAAUUCCUGGUGUAGCGGUGAAAUGCGCAGAUAUCAGGAGGAACACCGGUGGCGAAGGCGGUUCUCUGGGCAUUACCUGACGCUGAGGAGCGAAAGUGUGGGGAGCGAACAGG
rnacentral:rRNA from 1 species